CACGUAGGGCGCAAGCGUUGUCCGGAAUUAUUGGGCGUAAAGAGCUCGUAGGCGGUUUGUUGCGUCGGCUGUGAAAUCCCGAGGCUCAACCUCGGGUCUGCAGUCGAUACGAGCAGGCUAGAGUUCGGUAGGGGAGACUGGAAUUCCUGGUGUAGCGGUGAAAUGCGCAGAUAUCAGGAGGAACACCGGUGGCGAAGGCGGGUCUCUGGGCCGAUACUGACGCUGAGGAGCGAAAGCGUGGGGAGCGAACAGG
rnacentral:rRNA from 1 species